UACGUAGGUGGCAAGCGUUGUCCGGAUUUAUUGGGUUUAAAGGGUGCGUAGGCGGCUUUGUAAGUCAGUGGUGAAAUAUGGCAGCUCAACUGUCAAGGUGCCAUUGAUACUGCAGAGCUUGAGUACAGAUGAGGUAGGCGGAAUUGACGGUGUAGCGGUGAAAUGCUUAGAUAUCGUCAAGAACACCUAUAGCGAGGGCAGCUUACUAGGCUGUAACUGACGCUGAGGAGCGAAAGUGUGGGGAGCGAACAGG
rnacentral:rRNA from 1 species